rnacentral:rRNA from 1 species
UACGGAGGGUGCGAGCGUUGUCCGGAAUCAUUGGGCGUAAAGGGCGCGUAGGUGGCCACUUCAAGCGUGCGGUGAAAGUCGGGGCUCAACCCCUGAUCGGCCGUGCGAACUGGGGGGCUGGAGCACUGUAGAGGCAGGCGGAAUUCCGGGUGUAGCGGUGGAAUGCGUAGAGAUCCGGAAGAACACCGGUGGCGAAGGCGGCCUGCUGGGCAGUUUGCUGACACUGAGGCGCGACAGCGUGGGGAGCAACAGG